AUGCUCCCAGAGAUCCCAAAAAAUGAUCCCAGAGAUCCCAGAAAAUGAUCCCAGAGAUCCCAAAAAAUCCCUUGGGAAGUCAAAGAAUGAUCCCAGGGAUCCCAGAAUUCCCAAGAGGAGCCAAAAAAUGAUCCCAGAAAUCCCUUGAGCCAAAAAAUGAUCCCAGAGAUCCC